UGCUCCCUCAACAAUCACUGAAGCUGUCUCCAUACAAGAGGCUGAGGACACAAGGCAUGAACCUGCACCCCAACAUUCUCAAACCUCAAAAUCACAGGUUCAGUCAACCAUGACAAGACCGGGAAACUACUUAAGAGAUUUGCGACAGCGGGACUGGACGGCUCAGUGGUUAAGAAUGCCUACUGCAAACAACCUGGGAUUCAUCCCUAGGCAAUCUGACACCCUCUUUGGACAUCUUUGUGCCCCUUGAUAACAUGGACUGGACAUGGUGACGAAUGCCUUUGAUCCAGCACUGAUCCCAGCUCACAGGGUGUAGAUCUGUGAGUUCCUCAGCCAGACUGAUCUACAGAGCAAGUUCUGGGACAGCCAGGACGAUUAAAAGACAGAGAAACCCUGUCACAAAAAGCCAAAUGAAUGAAUGAAUGAAUGAAUGAAUGAAGACAUCCUGAAAGACCUUGAAGUCUCAGUCUCACCAUCACAGAACCCACCAGCAAAAAGUCCUACCUCACAUUUUCAGUGGCAUUCCCUAAUGCAAGCUGUCUGCAUCACAGAAGCUAAUAAAAUCUGGACUCUGAGGAGAGCUAGUAGUGGGAGUCAGUUGUCUCCUUCCAAGUCUGAACAUGUGCAGGCUACCGACAUGCAAUAAAUUUUUCUUUUAAAGUGUAAAGCGAGAUUCUACCAAAAAAAAAAAAAAAAUUACAGU
rnacentral:lncRNA from 1 species